GGGCCCCUAGCUCAUCUGGUAGAGCACCUCAUUUGCAAUGAGGGGGUAAGGAGUUCGAGUCUCCUGGGGUCCACCU
rnacentral:tRNA from 7 species